UACGAAGGGUGCAAGCGUUACUCGGAAUUACUGGGCGUAAAGCGUGCGUAGGUGGUUUGUUAAGUCUGUUGUGAAAGCCCCGGGCUCAACCUGGGAAUGGCAAUGGAUACUGGCAAGCUAGAGUGCGGUAGAGGGUAGUGGAAUUCCCGGUGUAGCGGUGAAAUGCGUAGAGAUCGGGAGGAACACCAGUGGCGAAGGCG
rnacentral:rRNA from 1 species